AUUGAACGCUGGCGGCAUGCCUAACACAUGCAAGUCGAACGGUAACAGGGCCCUUCGGGGCGCUGACGAGUGGCGGACGGGUGAGUAAUGCUUAGGAAUCUGCCUAGUAGUGGGGGAUAACCCGGGGAAACUCGGGCUAAUACCGCAUACGUCCUACGGGAGAAAGCGGGGGACCUUCGGGCCGUCGCGCUAUUAGAUGAGCCUAAGUCCGAUUAGCUAGUUGGUAGGGUAACGGCCUACCAAGGCGACGANCGGUAGCUGGUCUGAGAGGACGACCAGCCACACUGGGACUGAGACACGGCCCAGACUCCUACGGGAGGCAGCAGUGGGGAAGUAUUGGACAAUGGCGCAAGCCUGAUCCAGCGAUGCCGCGUGUGUGAAGAAGGCCUGCGGGUUGUAAAGCACUUU
rnacentral:rRNA from 1 species